UACAUAAUUCUUAUGACUAAAUUGGAAUGUGAAAAUAUUGGAAAAGUUUAAGGGUAAAAUUGGAAUUUCACAUGUGGAAAUACUAUAAAAGGGUUAAGGACAAAAUUGGAAUUUCACAUGUGGAAAUACUGUAAAAGGUUAAGGGCAAAAUUGGAAUUUCAACUUGGGAAUAUUAUAAAAGGUGAGGGGCAAAAUGGUAAUUUCACCUAGGGGUCUUUAUAUCUUCCAACUCCUAGAACUUUCAAGAGAAUUGGAAGAAGUUAGAAGAGCAAAAAUUCCAAGGAAAAAAGAAGAGAGUUUCGGCCAAGAUAGAAGGCUUGUUUGGUUGAUUUGGAGCUUUGAUUAAGUGAAGAAGUUAGAAGGAAAAGAUUUUGGAGGAAACGAGAAUUGAAUUUGGACAACCGUAAAAGGUCGAUAAGGUAUGUAAAACUCUACCUUUUCUUCUAUUGGCAUGUCUUAGGUGUAAUAGUUGGAUACGAGCCUCGGGGAUAACUCUACUCUUCGGAAUCGACACUUAAAUUUGACCCUUUUCUAUUCAGUAGAAUUGAAUUAAGUAUUUAUAAAUAUUUUUGAAAAAUUGUUUAAACCUCUAGAAUUUGCACAAAUAGGACCCGACUAUCUUGAAACUCUUAUAAAUAAUGUUAUGAAUGUUAACACCUAUAAUUUCGAUACGCCACCUCAUUUGUCUGAGGUGGGCCUCACUAUUUCGAUUUUUUUUCUUUGUUAUUCCGUUUGACUUAUAUUAGUUAGAAUUUAAAGGAAACUCUUUGCUCCUCUUCCAAAUAUCAUAUGAUUAAUUAUUCCGUUAAGUCCCAUAAUAUAUUCUGAAAUAUGGAAACAAUUUCAGAAAAUUAUUUUGACAUAGACUAUCGGGACAUUGAAAAGACUUACACUAUUAUUAUUAUUCAAGUAUUUUUAUAUAUGAUUUGUUAUCGAAAUUAUGCUAUCGAGUCUGUAUAAAUAUUUUGUAUUUUAAAUUGCAUUUAGUCUCUCACUACUCUACUCGUGCAUACUGUAAUCACUCUUUCACUUAGCCUGGGCCAGGAUAUGUUAUCAAGCGUAUUUCUUUGCAUUAUUCGUCGUGCCCCGAUGUGAGGGGGCAGGUACACCAUGUACAUGGGGUGGUGUAUGUUAUGCCACGGAGUUAUGCUGUGCCAUGUACACAUAUGAUAUGACAUGAUAUGAUUUGAUAUGAUUUGAUAUGGCCAUCUGAUAUGAUGUGAUCUAUUAUGGAGACAUUCCCUACUCUGAUGUUAUGAUGUGCUGUGGUGCCAAUGAUGGGAGGGCGACCACGUUUUGUUCACCGAAUUCCACGAAAUGGGGUCGGAUAUGGCAUAUGUCUUUGCAUAUAUGAUUUGUGAUUAUGAUAAGCAUUUUGAAAUUCUGAACAUUUAUUUCAUUUUCUGCACCUACUAUUCAGAUUAUGGUUUUAUUUAUUACAGUUCAUGCUUUACAUAUUCGGUACAUUUUUUGUACUGACCCCCUUUCUUUGGAGGCUGCGUUACAUGCCCGCAGGUACCAAAGUUCGAUUUGCUGAUCCACCUGUUUAGGAUAUUUGCUGCAUCGUUGAUAGUGCUUCCUUGUUCGUAGCUUGUAUUUUGAUACUGACUUUAUCUCUGUAUAUUUGGUUAUAUUGGUCAGGGGUACGACGGGGCCCUGUCCCAUCAUAUGACUAUGCUAUCAUCUGUAGAGGUCUGUAGACAUAGUUAUGUUGUGGGUUUUGUAUAUAUGUUUUGGGUUGUGUGUGUUUCGUGACGGCCUAUCGGCCAU